rnacentral:rRNA from 1 species
GUAGCUAAUACCGCAUAACGUCGCAAGACCAAAGAGGGGGUCCUUCGGGCCUCUUGCCAUCAGAUGUGCCCAGAUGGGAUUAGCUAGUGGGUGGGGUAACGGCUCACCUAGGCGACGAUCCCUAGCUGGUCUGAGAGGAUGACCAGCCACACUGGAACUGAGACACGGUCCAGACUCCUACGGGAGGCAGCAGUGGGGAAUAUUGCACAAUGGGCGCAAGCCUGAUGCAGCCAUGCCGCGUGUAUGAAGAAGGCCUUCGGGUUGUAAAGUACUUUCAGCGGGGAGGAAGGCGUUGAGGUUAAUAACCUCAGCGAUUGACGUUACCCGCAGAAGAAGCACCGGCUUACUCCGUGCCAGCAGCCGCGGUAAUACGGAGGGUGCAAGCGUUAAUCGGAAUUACUGGGCGUAAAGCGCACGCAGGCGGUCUGUCAAGUCGGAUGUGAAAUCCCCGGGCUCAACCUGGGAACUGCAUUCGAAACUGGCAGGCUAGAGUCUUGUAGAGGGGGGUAGAAUUCCAGGUGUAGCGGUGAAAUGCGUAGAGAUCUGGNAGNNGANAUACCCGGUGGCGAAGGCGGCCCCNUGGACAANGACUGACGCUCAGGUGCGAAANGCGUGGGGAGCAAACAGGAUUAGAUACCCNUGGUAGUCCACGCCGUAAACGAUGUCGACUUGGAGGUUGUGCCCUUGAGGCGUGGCUUCCGGNAGCUAANCGCGUUAAGUCGACCGCCNUGGGGAGUACGGCCGCAAGGUUAAAACUCAAAUGAAUUGACGGGGGCCCGCACAAGCGGUGGNAGCAUGUGGUUUAAUUCGAUGCAACGCGAAGAACCUUNACCUACUCUUGACAUCCAGAGAACUUUNCCAGAGAUGGANUUGGUGCCUUNCGGGAACUCUGAGACAGGUGCUNGCAUGGCNUGNUCGUCAGCUCGUGUUGUGAAAUGUUGGGUUAAGUCCCGCAACGAGCGCAACCCUUAUCCUUUGUUGCCAGCGGUCCGGCCGGGAACUCAAAGGAGACUGCCAGUGAUAAACUGGAGGAAGGUGGGGAUGACGUCAAGUCAUCAUGGCCCUUACGAGUAGGGCUACACACGUGCUACAAUGGUAUGUACAGAGGGAGGCAAGCUGGCGACAGUGAGCGGAUCUCUUAAAGCAUAUCGUAGUCCGGAUCGCAGUCUGCAACUCGACUGCGUGAAGUCGGAAUCGCUAGUAAUCGCAAGUCAGAAUGUUGCGGUGAAUACGUU